rfam:Triticum aestivum genome assembly, contig: Triticum_aestivum_CS42_TGACv1_scaffold_642180_T_7BS-0.183903_2AS-0.146059
GAUAAACUCCCUCCUCCUCGAAUUACUUGUCUUGGAUUUGUUAGAUACGGAUGUAUCACGUACAUCCGUAUCUAGACAAAUCUAAGACAAGUAAUUCGGGGCGGAGGUAGUAGAAA